rnacentral:rRNA from 1 species
AGUUUGAUUCUGGCUCAGGAUGAACGCUAGCUACAGGCUUAACACAUGCAAGUCGAGGGGCAGCAUUGGGAUAGCUUGCUAUUCAGAUGGCGACCGGCGCACGGGUGAGUAACGCGUAUCCAACCUUCCUGCCAGUAGGGAACAGCCCGGCGAAAGUCGGAUUAAUGCCCUAUGUUCUUCAAUGCGGACAUCUAAGUUGAAGGAAAGAUUCAUCGCUGGCAGAUGGGGAUGCGUCCGAUUAGCUUGCCGGCGGGUAACGGCCCACCGGGGCGACGAUCGGUAGGGGUUCUGAGAGGAAGGUCCCCCACACUGGUACUGAGACACGGACCAGACUCCUACGGGAGGCAGCAGUGAGGAAUAUUGGUCAAUGGGCGUAAGCCUGAACCAGCCAAGUAGCGUGCCAGGAUGACGGCCCUACGGGUUGUAAACUGCUUUUAUGCGGGGAUAAAGUGCGGCACGUGUGCCGCUUUGCAGGUACCGCAUGAAUAAGGACCGGCUAAUUCCGUGCCAGCCGCCGC